UACGAAGGGUGCUAGCGUUGUUCGGAAUUACUGGGCGUAAAGCGCGCGUAGGCGGCUUAACAAGUCAGGGGUGAAAUCCUGGAGCUCAACUCCAGAAUUGCCUUUGAAACUGUUAGCUUGAGUGUCGGAGGGGAUAGCGGAAUUGCUAAUGUAGAGGUGAAAUUCGUAGAUAUUAGCAGGAACACCGGGUGGCGAAAGGCGGCUAUCUGGACGACAACGUGACGCUGAGGCGCGAAAGCGUGGGGAUCAAACAG
rnacentral:rRNA from 1 species